rnacentral:rRNA from 1 species
AUGAAGGCCGUCGCCAGCCACCAGUACCACGGCGUCCGUCCACCCUCGCCGACGCCGGCGACUAAGAUCUCCAUUCCCGUCUCCGCCGGCGGGGGCGCGGAGGCGGCGCUGCUCGGGAAGGGGCGGUACAAGGCGUGGGCCCUCGUCGCCAUCGCUCUCCUCGCGCUCUGGUCCAUGUUCGCCGCCUCCGUCACCCUCCGCUGGUCCUCCGGCGACCUUGCCGCCGUCCCCUGGGACUUGAGUAGUCCCCUCCUCGACGACCUCGACCCGCUCGAGAUGGAGGAAAGGGAGAAACUAGUGCACCGGAUGUGGGACUUGUACACGCGCACUGGUGAUCAUGUAUGGCUUCCACGGUUCUGGCAAGAAGCAUUUGAGGCUGCAUAUGAGGAGCUUGCUGGUGAUGAUACACCUGCAAGUGACGCAGCUGUAUCGGAGAUUGCUCGCAUGGCAAUUCACAGGCCUGAGCUUGAGCAGGCACGUAAUAAUAAUUAG